GCGCCUGUGGCUCGGUGGGUAGGGCACUGGCCUCAUAUACCAAGGGUGGCAGGUUCGAACCCAGCCCUGGCCCA
rfam:Otolemur garnettii contig039880, whole genome shotgun sequence.